AGGGGCUCCAGCCCUGGGAGCAUCUCCGUGGCCUCCUCUGGAUUCUCUCCAGCAGCUCCACAUCCUUCCUGUGCUUUAGAGCUCACAAAUCCAAACCUCCAGGACGUGCCUGACUUCAUUCCUGAACAUUCCCGCACCUGGAAGCUUUUCCAGGCUUCAUCUGAUCCAGUAGGUGAGAGGAAGCAGGAGGAGCUGAUGAGAAAUAAAAUGAUCAAACUGAU